rnacentral:rRNA from 1 species
CGAAUGCUGACGUGAGUAACGACAAAACGGGUGAAAAACCCGUUCGCCGAAAGACCAAGGGUUCCAGUCCAACGUUAAUCGGGGCUGGGUGAGUCGACCCCUAAGGCGAGGCCGAAAGGCGUAGUCGAUGGGAAAAUGGUUAAUAUUCCAUUACUUCUGUGUAAUGCGAUGAGAGGACGGAGAAGGCUAAAUCAGCCUGGCGUUGGUUGUCCAGGUGAAAGGAUGUAGGCAUGUAUCUUAGGCAAAUCCGGGGUACUCUAUGCUGAGAUCUGAUAGCAAGCUGUACUUGUACAGCGAAGUGGUUGAUGCCAUGCUUCCAGGAAAAGUCUCUAAGCUUCAGUUACACAGGAAUCGUACCCGAAACCGACACAGGUGGUCAGGUCGAGUAGACCAAGGCGCUUGAGAGAACUCUGCUGAAGGAACUAGGCAAAAUGGUACCGUAACUUCGGGAGAAGGUACGCUGUUGUUGGUGAUGGAACUCGCUUCCUGAGCUGACGACAGCCGCAGAAACCAGGCCGCUGCAACUGUUUAUUAAAAACAUAGCACUCUGCAAACACGAAAGUGGACGUAUAGGGUGUGAUGCCUGCCCGGUGCUGGAAGGUUAAUUGAUGGGGUUAGCGUAAGCGAAGCUCUUGAUCGAAGCCCCAGUAAACGGCGGCCGUAACUAUAACGGUCCUAAGGUAGCGAAAUUCCUUGUCGGGUAAGUUCCGACCUGCACGAAUGGCAUAAUGAUGGCGGCGCUGUCUCCAGCAGAGGCUCAGUGAAAUCGAAAUCGCUGUGAAGAUGCAGUGUACCCGCGGCUAGACGGAAAGACCCCGUGAACCUUUACUGCAGCUUGACACUGAACUUUGACCUUACUUGUGUAGGAUAGGUGGGAGGCUUUGAAGCUGGAACGCUAGUUCCAGUGGAGCCGUCCUUGAAAUACCACCCUGGUAAUGUUGAGGUUCUAACUCUGUCCCGUGAUCCGGGACGAGGACCGUGUCUGGUGGGUAGUUUGACUGGGGCGGUCUCCUCCUAAAGAGUAACGGAGGAGUACGAAGGUGCGCUCAGCGUGGUCGGAAAUCACGCGUAGAGUAUAAAGGCAAAAGCGCGCUUAACUGCGAGACCCACAAGUCGAGCAGGUACGAAAGUAGGUCUUAGUGAUCCGGUGGUUCUGUAUGGAAGGGCCAUCGCUCAACGGAUAAAAGGUACUCUGGGGAUAACAGGCUGAUACCGCCCAAGAGUUCAUAUCGACGGCGGUGUUUGGCACCUCGAUGUCGGCUCAUCUCAUCCUGGGGCUGAAGCAGGUCCCAAGGGUAUGGCUGUUCGCCAUUUAAAGAGGUACGCGAGCUGGGUUUAGAACGUCGUGAGACAGUUCGGUCCCUAUCUACCGUGGGCGCUGGAAAUUUGAGAGGAUCUGCUCCUAGUACGAGAGGACCAGA